AUGCUUUUCUCUCAUGUCUUUCUUUCGUUUAUGGUUCAAUAUUCUGGUGUCCUAGGCGUAGAGGAACCACACCAAACCAUCCCGAACUUGGUGGUUAAACUCUACUGCGGUGACAAUACUGGUACUCCGGGGAACAGAUCUAGUGGAGACAGGGUGGGGCCUGUAGCUCAGAGGAUUAGAGUACGUGGCUACGAACCACGGUGUCGGGGGUUCGAAUCCCUCCUCGCCCACAAGCGGCUAAAAGGGGAAGGACCUUGGGGAUAA